rnacentral:piRNA from 1 species
UGCUUCUCUCUAAAUAAGAUGGACC